GGUUGUAUAGUGUAGUGGUUAUCACUCUGGAUUUUGAGUCUAAACAACUCUCUGCCUUCCAGUAACCCCGGUUCGACCCCGGGUACGACCU